rnacentral:miRNA from 1 species
UGUAUUUGACAAGCUGAAUUC